CUUUUGCUCAGUAAAUAAUGUCAGUGUGUAUAUAUGCAUCAUUCAUCGAUAUCAUCACGUUCACUAUUGCAAAUCAGUAGACUAUUACGAUUCUCCAGCCAGGGGACUACGUUCUAAGUUACGUGACCGACGAAGACGUUAUGCCAUUGUGUUGGAAGCAGAUCGAGACCACCAGUCCACGUGAAUACAACAUCUCGAAGGUUGGCAUGGGCCUCUGGGAAAUUCAAAAGCACGUUCGAACGUGUGUGAGACUUUUAACAGAAAUUUAUCAAAAUCAUUUUCGUUCAGUAUACGGAAGCAGAUACAACGAUCUUAAACGUCAACCGAUGAACUAGACGCACAAUACAAUGGCAGAAGAAAAUGAGUGUCUUCGACUGUAUUAGUUU